GUGCUUUUACGGUUCCGGGUACUGGCUCCCACACCACUGCCUCGUGUGGGGUUGUUCGCCCGUGAAGGGGCAGGACAGGGUGCGCGCUGGUGGAGGUUAGUGAGGUCACACACCGGGCCGUGGCGCCUGGUGCGCUGGGCGCUUCCACCUCAACCUUCGUAGCAAACCCAGCGGGGUUCUGUGCCUGCGCACCGUGGUUCCUGCGUUCAUUUACUGUCCCGUUUCUCACUCCGGAAAGUGUGGCUUUGAGUUUGAUCUGCAGGAGUAGGACGGGCACAGCGGGUGUCUGGUCUUCCUCGCACCAUAAAUCGCAGAGCGAGCCCUCUGUGGUCUCUGGAUACAGUAUACCAAAGUUAGAUUAACUGUACUCCUUCUCACAAGCCGGUCCAACGUUUGCAGCAGUGAAAAAGCCCUAAGUGUCAGGGCCUUUGGCGAAGCCUGUGUAAGGGAAUAAACACUUUCCCCAGUUUUCCAGGCGCAAACUGAUGGUUUUGGAGCAUUAAGGUCUGGUCGGAUGGGGCAGGAUGGCUGCGUUGACACGUCUUAUUUAAUCCACAUCAUAGGUCUCCAGGUCCGCCCCCGCCUGUAACCCCCAGCGCCGCCCCUCUGGAAGCCUGGGAGGACUGUGUGUUGCGAACCGGGGCGGCUACUCUCGGCCGCCGCGGAGGUCCGCGUCUUGUUAGCAGGGAAGGUUUACUCCCCCAUUGUGGGUGACCAAGGGGCUGAGGGCUUGGCCGGUUUCGCUUUGCUGGGGGCAAGGCACGCUCUCUCUCCCCACCCUUCCGGGUUCC
rnacentral:lncRNA from 1 species